rnacentral:rRNA from 1 species
UACGUAGGGGCCGAGCGUUGUCCGGAUUCAUUGGGCGUAAAGAGCGUGUAGGCGGCCAGGUAGGUCUGCUGUGAAAACUCGAGGCUCAACCUCGAGACGUCGGCGGAAACCAUCUGGCUAGAGUCCGGAAGAGGAGAGUGGAAUUCCUGGUGUAGCGGUGAAAUGCGCAGAUAUCAGGAAGAACACCCGUGGCGAAGGCGGCUCUCUGGGACGGUACUGACGCUGAGACGCGAAAGCGUGGGGAGCGAACAGG